rnacentral:lncRNA from 1 species
UCCUCAUGUAGUAUUUCUGUUGUUGCCGUAUAGAAUUUUAUAUAAAAUAAAUUCCCUUUGGUUACUCUUUUGUAUAUAAUAAAUGCUUUGUAUAAUUCUGAUAUACCGCUUAAUUCUUCUCCAUCGUAGGUAUAUGCAGUACUUAUUAAAUCCAUAAUUAUAACAUGUUUUAACUAGGUUAGCAUUGGUUUUCGGCUGUGCAAUUAGCUUGUUGUAUCCUUG